rnacentral:rRNA from 1 species
AUGGGGGAUCGGCCAAAGCUCCCUGCCCGCUACGAGCAGGUGAAGCUGCUCGGCGAGGGUAAUUUCGCCAAGGUCUACCUGGCGCGGCACAUGGAUACGAAGGAGGAGGUGGCAAUCAAGGUGAUGGACAAGGAGAAGCUCAUCAAGUUGGGCGCCGUUCAACAGAUCAAGCGCGAGAUCGCCGUGAUGCGCCGGCUGCGGCACCCCAACAUCGUGCAGCUGCACAAGGUGAUGGCGUGCAAGUCCCGUAUCUUCGUCGUCAUGGAGUACGUCCGCGGUGGCCCGCUCUACCGCCACAUCCCCGCCAACGGCGGCCUCAAGGAGGACGAGACGCGCCGCAUCUUCCAGCAGCUCGUCUCGGCACUCACCUUCUGCCACGCGCAGGGCGUGUACCAUCGCGACAUCAAGCCCGACAACCUCCUCGUCGACGAGCACGGCAAUCUCAAGGUCGCCGACUUCGGGCUGUCCGCCCACGCCGACACGGCUCGCCGGGAGGCGCUCCUCCACACCGUCUGCGGCACGCCCCUGUACGUCCCUCCGGAGGUGUUCGCGCGCCGGGGCUACGAUGGUGCCAAGGCGGACGCCUGGUCCUGCGGCAUCGUCCUCUUCGUGCUCGCCGCCGGCCGCAAGCCCUUCCGCGACGACGACUUCAUCACGCUAUACAGGACAAUCUGCCGCGGUGACUACCGCUGCCCACGCACCUUCAGCCCCGAACUGGUACGCAUAGUACGCCGCCUCCUCCAACCAAACCCAGCGCACCGGAUCACACUACUGCAAAUCAAGGAAACAGAUUGGUUCAAGAAGGGCUUCAAGGAAAUAAGUUUCUAUAUCGACAACAAGGACUGCCUGCGCAGCCUUGAUGGCUCCGAAGAGCCUGAUCUCUGUGACUCUGACUCCGAGGACGAGACUGCCAUGUCUUCAUCAUCCUCCGGCUCUUCCUCUCCGGUGGCUCAUGGCGAUGGCGGCGGCAUGCACACCUCGGUUUCAGCACCGUCGCUUGUAAAUCUGGAGAAGAUGCACAUUGCUGCAGCCUGUGCCCCUGAGCCGCGUAUAAGACGGAUCAAGAGUAUGAACGCGUUCGACAUUAUCGCCUCCUCGCCAAGCUUCGAUCUGUCCGGGCUGUUCGAGGAGCGCGGCGAGCAGUUGCGUUUCGUGUCCAGCGCGCCAGUGAACACCAUCAUCAAGAAGCUGGAGGAGAUCGCCGGGCAAGUUAGCUUCACGGCGCGCACCAAGGAUUGCCAGGUAUGCAAGAAAGCCGGAGAUACCGCUGAAUACCGUCAAUUCUGCGGCAGUGAGCUCAAGCCCGGCCUUCGAGGUCUUGUGGAUGGCCUGCCCGAGGAUGGCCUUCCUCCAACGCUGAAUGUUGCGUGA